rnacentral:lncRNA from 1 species
AUGGAUCUGAGUUCUGGAAAUUCCAAGUCACGGGUCCUUCCUCAUUGCACUUCAGCCUUAACUCCUCCCCUUUGUUCACAACCAGCGAGGAUUCUUCAUGAGGCACUGAACCACCUGCGGGGAUGAGGCUCAGCAGCAGCACGGCGUGCGCCAGCUCCCAGGCGAGGUGCGCGCCCUCCAUGCCGCCCCCCCGAGCCCGCCGCGCCGCGGCUGCCUCUCGCACCACCCGGCGCGC